rnacentral:rRNA from 1 species
AACGAACGCUGGCGGCAUGCCUAACACAUGCAAGUCGAACGAGAUCUUCGGGUCUAGUGGCGCACGGGUGCGUAACGCGUGGGAAUCUGCCCUUUGGUUCGGAAUAACAGUUGGAAACGACUGCUAAUACCGGAUGAUGACGAAAGUCCAAAGAUUUAUCGCCAGAGGAUGAGCCCGCGUAGGAUUAGCUAGUUGGUGUGGUGAAGGCGCACCAAGGCGACGAUCCUUAGCUGGUCUGGGAGGAUGAUCAGCCACACUGGGACUGAGACACGGCCCGAACUCCUCGGGGAGGCAGCAGUGGGGAAUAUUGAACAAUGGGCGAAAGCCUGAUCCAGCAAUGCCGCGUGAGUGAUGAAGGCCUUAGGGUUGAAAAGCUCUUUUCCCCGGGAUGAUAAUGACAGUACCGGGAGAAUAAGCUCCGGCUACCUCCGUGCCAGCAGCCGCGGUAA